rnacentral:rRNA from 1 species
UACGUAGGGUGCGAGCGUUGUCCGGAAUUAUUGGGCGUAAAGAGCUUGUAGGCGGUUUGUCGCGUCUGCUGUGAAAAUCCGGGGCUCAACCCCGGACUUGCAGUGGGUACGGGCAGACUAGAGUGUGGUAGGGGGAGACUGGAAUUCCUGGUGUAGCGGUGAAAUGCGCAGAUAUCAGGAGGAACACCGAUGGCGAAGGCAGGUCUCUGGGCCACUACUGACGCUGAGGAGCGAAAGCGUGGGGGAGCAAACAGG